AUUGAACGCUGGCGGCAGGCUUAACACAUGCAAGUCGAGCGGAGAUGAGGUGCUUGCACCUUAUCUUAGCGGCGGACGGGUGAGUAAUGCUUAGGAAUCUGCCUAUUAGUGGGGGACAACAUUCCGAAAGGAAUGCUAAUACCGCAUACGUCCUACGGGAGAAAGCAGGGGAUCUUCGGACCUUGCGCUAAUAGAUGAGCCUAAGUCGGAUUAGCUAGUUGGUGGGGUAAAGGCCUACCAAGGCGACGAUCUGUAGCGGGUCUGAGAGGAUGAGCCGCCACACUGGGACUGAGACACGGCCCAGACUCCUGCGGGAGGCAGCAGUGGGGAAUAUUGGACAAUGGGGGGAACCCUGAUCCAGCCAUGCCGCGUGUGUGAAGGAGGCCUUAUGGUUGUAAAGCACUUUAAGCGAGGAGGAGGCUACUGAGACUAAUACUCUUGGAUAGUGGACGUUACUCGCAGAAUAAGCACCGGCUAACCCUGUGCCAGCCGCCGCCGUAAAAC
rnacentral:rRNA from 1 species